GACGAACGCUGGUGGCGUGCCUAAUACAUGCAAGUCGAACGAGAGCGACCGGUGCUUGCACUGGUCAAUCUAGUGGCGAACGGGUGAGUAACACGUGGGUAACCUGCCCAUCAGAGGGGGAUAACAUCCGGAAACGGAUGCUAAAACCGCAUAGGUCUUCGAGCCGCAUGGCUUGAAGAGGAAAAGAGGCGCAAGCUUCUGCUGAUGGAUGGACCCGCGGUGCAUUAGCUAGUUGGUGAGGUAACGGCUCACCAAGGCCGUGAUGCAUAGCCGACCUGAGAGGGUGAUCGGCCACAUUGGGACUGAGACACGGCCCAAACUCCUACGGGAGGCAGCAGUAGGGAAUCUUCCGCAAUGGACGCAAGUCUGACGGAGCAACGCCGCGUGAGUGAAGAAGGUUUUCGGAUCGUAAAACUCUGUUGUUAGAGAAGAACAAGUGCUAGAGUAACUGUUAGCGCCUUGACGGUAUCUAACCAGAAAGCCACGGCUAACUACGUG
rnacentral:rRNA from 1 species